rnacentral:rRNA from 1 species
AGGGCACCACCAGGAGUGGAGCCUGCGGCUUAAUUUGACUCAACACGGGAAAACUCACCCGGCCCGGACACUGGAAGGAUUGACAGAUUGAGAGCUCUUUCUUGAUUCAGUGGAUGGUGGUGCAUGGCCGUUCUUAGUUGGUGGAGUGAUUUGUCUGGUUAAUUCCGAUAACGAACGAGACUCUAGCCUACUAAAUAGAUCGUCGGCUUACAAACGCCGGCGAGACUUCUUAGAGGGACAGGCGGUGAUUCAACCGCACGAAACAGAGCAAUAACAGGUCUGUGAUGCCCUUAGAUGUCCGGGGCCGCACGCGCGCUACACUGAAGUGACCAGCGUGCUUUUUCAACCUACUCUGUCAAGAGUGGGGAACCCAAUGAACCUUCUUCGUGAUUGGGAUAGGGGAUUGUAAUUAUUCCCCUUGAACGAGGAAUUCCCAGUAAGCGCGAGUCAUAAGCUCGCGUUGAUUACGUCCCUGCCCUUUGUACACACCGCCCGUCGCUACUACCGAUUGAAUGUUUU